CCCUGGGGGUCCAAAAAAUCGGACAACCUGCGACGUAAACUAAAACUGAGGCUGCGAAUUCUCCACCUUCAACGCGGAAGUACAAGCGGGGACGGAUAAAAAAAGGCGCACGCCAAACUGUCCUCCCGCCGGAUGUCGGGAGGCACGGUGGCAGCAACAUCCCGCUGUGGGGUGGAGGACCCGAUCAAACAUCCCGGGAGAGCUCCGGAGAUGACUGUCCACUGACGGCCCCCAUCCAAACCCGACAGCUUGAGGGGAUCUGCAUAAAAUCCCUAAAUCCAGGUGUGUAACGCUUGACGCGUCACACCCAAGAAAAGCUGAGGCUGCUAUCGGUGCCACGGGUCUUAGUUUUCGUUUAG